UAAGCAUCCGUAGCUGGUUCUGUAAGUUCUCGGGUAAAUCUAUAUGCUCCACGUAUAGGCCGCCGAAAAUACUGCAGUGAUAGGAAGUGGGAGAGUAGACGGUACUUGAUAGGAAGGGGUACAAUCCUCUGAUCUAUCGAUGACCACCUGUGGCGAAGGCGUUAUACCAGAACACGUUCGACGGUGAGGGAUGAAAGCUGGGGGAGCAAACCGGAUUAGAUACCCGGGUAGUCCCAGCUGUAAACGAUGCAGACUCGAUGAUGCAUUGGCAUAUAGCCAGUGCAGUGUCGCAGGGAAGCCGUUAAGUCUGCCGCCUGGGAAGUACGUACGCAAGUAUGAAACUUAAAGGCAUUGGCGGGGGAGCACCACAAGGGGUGAAGCCUGCGGUUCAAUUGGAGUCAACGCCAGAAAUCUUACCCGGAGAGACAGCAGAAUGAAGGUCAAGCUGAAGACUUUACCAGACAAGCUGAGAGGUGGUGCAUGGCCGUCGUCAGCUCGUGCCGUGAGAUGUCCUGUUAAGUCAGGUAACGAGCGAGAUCCCUACCACUAGUUGCUAUCAUUACUCUCAGGAGUAGUGGAGCGAAUUAGUGGGACCGCUGUAGUAAUAUGGAGGAAGGAAGGGGCCACGGCAGGUCAGUAUGCCCCGAAACUCUGGGGCCACACGCGGGCUGCAAUGGUAGUGACAAUGGGCGCCUAACUCGAAAGAGUGCGGCAAUCCUUAAACGCUACCACAGUUAUGACUGAGGGCUGUAACUCGCCCUCACGAAUAUGGAAUCCCUAGUAACUGCGUGUCAUUAUCGCGCGGUGAAUACGUCCCUGCUCCUUGCACACACCGCCCGUCGUUUCAUCGAAGUUUGCUUUUAGACGAGGUGAUGGUAAUUGCAUCAUCGACUGAGAUCAAGAG
rnacentral:rRNA from 1 species